CAGUGAGGGAAUUAAGGACGGCAUGUUGUCCUUGUAACGGGGAUCCAGCAGGGUGGCCACCCAGUAAUCAGCACAAGUUAGAAUGUGGGCAACUCGGCAGUCGUUGCACAGGCACUUUGGUGACUCUAGAGAACCUCGGGUCAAUUGCACAUCCCCUUGACGGCGACGACGCAUUCGGAUGUCUGCCCUAUAAAUUUUCUAUGGUACUUUCUGCGCCUACCAUGGUGACCACGGGUAACAUGGAAUCAGGGUUCGAUUACGG
rnacentral:rRNA from 1 species